GACGAACGCUGGCGGCGUGCCUAAUACAUGCAAGUCGAGCGAAGUUUUUCUGGUGCUUGCACUAGAAAAACUUAGCGGCGAACGGGUGAGUAACACGUAAAGAACCUGCCUCAUAGACUGGGACAACUAUUGGAAACGAUAGCUAAUACCGGAUAACAGUAUUUCUCGCAUGAGAGAUAUUUAAAAGUUGGUUAUGCUAACACUAUGAGAUGGCUUUGCGGUGCAUUAGCUAGUUGGUGGGGUAAAGGCCCACCAAGGCGACGAUGCAUAGCCGACCUGAGAGGGUGAUCGGCCACACCGGGACUGAGACACGGCCCAGACCCCUACGGGAGGCAGCAGUAGGGAAUCUUCCGCAAUGGGCGAAAGCCUGACGGAGCAACGCCGCGUGAGUGAAGAAGGAUUUCGGUUCGUAAAGCUCUGUUGUUAGGGAAGAAUGGAUAUGUAGUAACUAUACAUGUAAGAGACGGUACCUAACCAGAAAGCCACGGCUAACUACGUG
rnacentral:rRNA from 1 species